CCUACGGGUGGCAGCAGUGGGGAAUUUUCCGCAAUGGGCGAAAGCCUGACGGAGCAAUACCGCGUGAGGGAGGAAGGCUCUUGGGUCGUAAACCUCUUUUCUCAGGGAAGAAGAAAGUGACGGUACCUGAGGAAGAAGCAUCGGCUAACUCCGUGCCAGCAGCCGCGGUAAUACGGAGGAUGCAAGCGUUAUCCGGAAUGAUUGGGCGUAAAGGGUCCGCAGGUGGUGCUGUAAGUCUGCUGUUAAAGAGUCACGCUUAACGUGAUAAAAGCAGUGGAAACUACAGGACUAGAGUGCAUUCGGGGCAGAAGGAAUUCCUGGUGUAGCGGUGAAAUGCGUAGAUAUCAGGAAGAACAUCGGUGGCGAAAGCGUUCUGCUAGGCUGCAACUGACACUGAGGGACGAAAGCUAGGGGAGCGAAUGGGAUUAGAUACCCCAGUAGUC
rnacentral:rRNA from 1 species